AAAAGUUUGGUCCUGGCUUUUCCAUCAGUUUUAACCCAAUUUACACAUGCAAGCAUCCGCACCCCUGUGAAAAUGCCCUACCGUACCCCUGCCCCGGGCACAAGGAGCAGGUAUCAGGCACAAUUAAAAUUAGCCCACGACGCCUUGCUUAGCAGCCACACCCCCACGGGAAUUCAGCAGUGAUAAACAUUGAGCAAUAAGUGAAAGCUUGACUCAAUUAGGGUUAUAGAGGGUCGGUAAAACUCGUGCCAGCCACCGCGGUUAUACGAGAGACCCAAAUUGAUAGAGUUCGGCGUAAAGCGUGGUUAAGGUGAACUAAAAGUAAAGCCGAAUGUACUCAAAGCUGUUAUACGCAUCUGAGAAUAAGAAGCCCAACUACGAAGGUGGCUUUAUAACACCUGACGCCACGAAAGCUAGGACACAAACUGGGAUUAGAUACCCCAUUAUGCCCAGCCCUAAACAAUGAUAAUGAUUUACACACAUUAUCCGCCCGGGUACUACAAGCACUGCUUGAAACCCAAAGGACUUGACGGUGCUUUAGACCCCCCUAGAGGAGCCUGUUCUAGAACCGACAACCCCCGUUCAACCUCACCCUUUCUUGUUAUUUCCCGCCUAUAUACCGCCGUCGUCAGCUUACCUCUUGAAGGCCCAACAGUGAGCAAGAUUGGUACACCCCAAAACGUCAGGUCGAGGUGUAGCGCAUGAAAGGGGAUGAAAUGGGCUACAUUCCCUAGUACAGGGAAUACGAAUUACGUGUUGAAACACACGUCUGAAGGAGGAUUUAGCAGUAAGCUAAGAAUAGAGCGUUAAGCUGAAACUGGCCCUGAAGCGCGCACACACCGCCCGUCACUCUCCCCAAGCCUAAAAUUAUCCCCUACUUAAGCAGUUUGUAAGGCAAUAGGGGAGGCAAGUCGUAACAUGGUAAGUGUACCGGAAGGUGUACUUGGAAAAA
rnacentral:ncRNA from 1 species